GGAGCCUCCUAGUCCUUCCACUUUGGUUUCAGACUUUGAGGAGACUUGAUGCCUUUGGAGGAGAGCAGCAUUUCACGGUUUCGAGAUGGCCUCCCUGAUGGGAAGGUGUGAUGGGAACUGGGAAGGGGCUCCCAGGCUACGUGUAAUGAGCUGAAGAGCCCCAGAGGUUACUGACAGACCAAAAUAUCCUGACAACCCCGGAAUGCCAGAAGGAGAGAAGGGAUAUCCCCAAUCUCAUCUUAAAUCUGAAUUGAACCUGUCAUAUUAUAGCCUGGCUCUUCUCUCACCAACUAUUUGGGGGUAAUGUAGUGAUUCAUUUUGUUUCCACAUAUUAUUUUAAGUUCUUACUACCUCCUUCCCCCAUCUAGGUUCAGAUUUUCCCCUGCUUUUAACAUCUUGGUCCAGGCAGCUACAUUAUCAAACUGUACUAGGAUGGCAAAAUCAUUUUUUCACAUAUGCUAACCAUCAAUGAUUAGUGGUGAUUUUAUGGAAAAAUAUGUUGAGAAUAAUUUAGAGGAAAGAUUUGGGUUCAGAUAGAACUAUCUGCCAUUGGUAAGUAAAGUAAAGUGAUGUUGUCACUUAUUUUAUCCCAUCCAUGAUGAGAAUUGAUGUUUAUAAAACCUUUGACUAUACAAUGAGAGUAUUAAGCAAAAAACAAGUAACAAAAAUUAAAAAUAAAAUGCUUUUGUAAUCAAGGUCAGAGAGGAUAUUCUUUUACUUUUUCCAUUACAUUAUUCAUGUGUGCAUAAUGGUGUACAGUAUUACUUUCCAUGUGUAAAAAAGAAAUCAUACAAUAGAGUGCAUAGAGAAGUGGAGAAAUGGAGAAUAGUUCUCAAAGUUAUUUGAUCUGGCAGAUUAUCUUCCAAAGAUGAGUGCAACUGUAUUUUCCAUAUCACAGCCUCUUCUGGAAUAUUAAACUCUGCCCCCAUCAAGAGGUGGUGUCUGUGUCUGUUCUUGAAUUUGGGUGGGUCUUCCCGACUGCUUCAACCAAGAGAGUCCAGUAGAAAUGAUACUAUAUGAUUUUGGAGGUUAGAUCAAAAGACUGCCAUGCAUUUUAAUUUUGUUUUUUGAGGGUUGCUGUCUUUUAGAACCCAGCCAACAUACUGUGAUGAAGCCUAAACAACUGUGGAGAGGCUCACGUGGAGAGGAGUCAAUGCCCACUGAUCUAUAAGCCUUGGCUGAGCUCUGAGCCAACAGUCAUGAUCAACUUCCAGCCGUAUAAGUGAACCAUCUUGAAAGAGGCUUCACCAGCACCAAGUUGAGCAACUUGAUUAUGUUACCAAAGAUCACCUCCUUCCUAUCAUCUUCCGUCUGAGACUUGCUUAGAGUGAGUUUGGAAGCUGUGUUUUGCUCAUCCUGAAGACUGAACAUAAGAAAAUAUUGCUCAAGUUCUGGAUGAUGCAGCUGCUGAAAUAAUCUGUGGUGCACUUUCCUUCAGGAAUCCUUACCUAUUUUUUCAGGUGUUCCACAAGCCUUCUUAUCUUGGAAUUCAGUAAUACUUAUUGUGUGGUUGCUUACUGUUCCCUAGGCACCCUGAAGCAUUGAAGCUUUGAAGCUUUGUCUCAUGCUUUCAAGUAAUGUUCUCGUGUUUACCUGCUGAUAUUCCUUCAAAGUUAGAGGCUGCCUCUCUCCAAGUGUGGAAAAAAACAAUCAGAUGUCACUAAGAUAUUGUGUAACAAUUCAUAUUAAACACAUGAUCUUGUCAGUCAAGAAGAAGAGAUUAAAACAAACACCUUGAGAGUUCAUGAGUAGAAGUAUACAGCCCUGCAUUCAUGAUAAUAUGGUGCAUUUUACCUACCUUGCAGCAGAAAGAGAUAUCUAAUUCCAUACACAGCAAUGUAACUGUUUAAAGUGCUCCUAAAAUUCAGACAAAACAAAUUAUAAAUAGUAUCAAGAUCAAAGAAGCUGAAAGUCCCUAUGUUUGAUGUAGGCACAGCAAAGUUUGAUGUAUAUGCUCAUUUCUCAGCACUGCAAGUAUGGAGAAACCAUCAGAAAGCAUGCUGAAAAUAGAGAGGGCUUCUAAAACAGAAAGCUCCUGCCUGUUUUACUGAAGGCUACCAGAUUCUUUCUCAGAAAUUUUGUACAGUUCAGAGGCACAAAUGCUCUUUUAGGUCCUUUGAAGCACUGGGUUUAAUAUCGGAAUUUAAUCUUGGCUCUAGUCUCCAAUUCCUUACAUAGUCAUUCAAGCAAUCUUGGGGACCAAGUCUUCCAAUAGCAUAGUGAUAUUCAUGCCUGAAGUGGGAGGAAUAGAUAUCCUCCUCAUUAACAAGGGAUGAGAGAUCAUGUUUCAUAGGCAAAAUACUCAUGCAUGCAAAAAUGUAACUUUUCCAGUAAUUUUUUUAGUACUGAAAUUAGCUUAGCUCAUUAGCUCUCUCUUCUACCUAGUAGCAGGGAAUGCAGUUUUGCUAACCCAGGUGACUCAUUAUUUCUGUUUUCAAGUUUAGUUUAUUUUAGGUAAAUUUUUGAAUUCAUAAUGUUUUUCUGACCUUUCUUCUCUUCCAGAAGAGGUUAUUCUAACUUCUUAAUGGAUUUACUUUUGUAGUUG
rnacentral:lncRNA from 1 species